rnacentral:rRNA from 1 species
UACAGAGGCCACAAGCGUUAGUCGGAAUCACUGGGCUUAAAGGGUGCGUAGGCGGACCUGUAAGUGUUCUGUGAAAUCCCUCGGCUCAACCGAGGAAUUGCAGGGCAUACUGCGGGUCUUGAGGCAUGUAGGGGCGGGCAGAACAGUAGGUGGAGCGGUGAAAUGCGUAGAUAUCUACUGGAAUGCCGAUGGGGAAGCCGGCCCGCUGGGCAUGUCCUGACGCUGAGGCACGAAAGCGUGGGGAGCAAACAGG